CGUGAGAAUCUGCCCUCAGGAGGGGGAUAACGGUUGGAAACGACCGCUAAUACCCCAUAUGCCUACUGGUGAAAUGAAUUUCGCCUGAGGAUGAGCUCGCGUCUGAUUAGCUAGUUGGUGAGGUAAUGGCUCACCAAGGCUUCGAUCAGUAGCUGGUCUGAGAGGAUGAUCAGCCACACUGGGACUGAGACACGGCCCAGACUCCUACGGGAGGCAGCAGUGGGGAAUUUUCCGCAAUGGGCGAAAGCCUGACGGAGCAACGCCGCGUGAGGGACGAAGGCCUCUGGGCUGUAAACCUCUUUUCUCAAGGAAGAAGAUAUGACGGUACUUGAGGAAUAAGCCACGGCUAAUUCCGUGCCAGCAGCCGCGGUAAUACGGGAGUGGCAAGCGUUAUCCGGAAUUAUUGGGCGUAAAGCGUCCGCAGGCGGCUUUUCAAGUCUGCUGUUAAAGCGUGGAGCUUAACUCCAUCAUGGCAGUGGAAACUGAAAGGCUUGAGUAUGGUAGGGGCAGAGGGAAUUCCCGGUGUAGCGGUGAAAUGCGUAGAUAUCGGGAAGAACACCAGUGGCGAAGGCGCUCUGCUGGGCCAUUACUGACGCUCAUGGACGAAAGCCAGGGGAGCGAAAGGGAUUAGAUACCCCUGUAGUCCUGGCCGUAAACGAUGAACACUAGGUGUCGGGGGAAUCGACCCCUUCGGUGUCGUAGCUAACGCGUUAAGUGUUCCGCCUGGGGAGUACGCACGCAAGUGUGAAACUCAAAGGAAUUGACGGGGGCCCGCACAAGCGGUGGAGUAUGUGGUUUAAUUCGAUGCAACGCGAAGAACCUUACCAGGGUUUGACAUCCUGCGAACCUCUUAGAAAUUUGACGGUGCCUUCGGGAAUGCAGUG
rnacentral:rRNA from 1 species